UCCGAGCAGGGGAUUAGCCCCAAAGGCUUCUCAGCUCUGUCGCCAGCCAGGCCUUUAGCUCCUGCCCGGGGCCGGUGCCUCUGGCUGUGGAAGUGCAGUGUGGGGUCUCCCGGGAAAUGGAUCAGGCUGCUGCGGGAGGGCGGUCCGCGUGUCACAGACCACGAAGGCGCGAGUCAGCCUGUGUUCAGCUGAAUUCCUUUGACCAGGCCUCUCUGACCGCGCCACCUGCCCCGGAGCCCCGGCCACAGCUGCCCAGGGCCAGGUGUGCACCUGCCGCCUCUCUCCCCAGCUGGGCUCCCCUCAGUCUGUGGCUGGCGUCCCCUUCCCCUCUCCCGCCCGCGAGUCCUCUCCUCCCGGGCUUCCUCUCCUUGGCUGCCGGCCCGUCCCCACAACUGGGCGGGAUGCAUCCCUGGUGGGCGUGGUCUGCGGACCCUUACAGGGCAGCUGGGGCUGGGGCUGGGGAUGGCCUCUGAGCGGGGCUGCAGCCCGCGACUCCGGGUCUGCCCUGGUCUUCCUUUCCCGCUCCCUGAGGAACAUCUCAGUGGCGUCUGCGCUGCUCCCUGGGCUGAGAGUCUCCGGCUGUAAAGCCCAGCUUCUGGUGGAGUCGGGAAAAGGGAUCCUCAGUGCCAAGCGAGCUUCUGUCUCCUCCCUCAGUGUUUCUGCCUCAGGGUGAAACGUAUGACCAUCGAUUUUAAAAAGACAGUUACAUUCCCUAACUAGCCCAGCCCAGCUUGGGUGUGUUAACAGGAACAGCACCACCAGAGGCGUUGGAGACCCAGGGACAUUCCAGUCCUAAAGAGCUCCUGGCACAGUUUGGUUUGUUUUGGUUUUUUCUUUUUCUUAAAUUGUGGGGCAGACUAAGUAGUAUAGAGGGAAAAAUAAUUGUCAAGAAAUAUUUUUUCAUAUAACAGCUUUAUUGUGACAUUGUUCACACACCAUGAAGUCCAUCCAUUUAAAUGGUACAAUUCAGCAGCUUUUAGCAUAUUCACAGUUGUGCAACAAUUAUUAUUCCAGAACGUUUUCAUCACAUCAGAAAGACCAGUGGAAAUGAAUGACCUAUCCACCCCUCCCCAGUGGUGGUUCUAAAGAAGUUUCUUAGGUCAUAUGGGCCUCUGUCCCAGGACUGACUGCAGCCUUUUCUUCCCUGGUCAACAUUUCCUGUGCCUUUCAGAAGUUGGUCUCUUCUCUGCAAUUGAACCCUGGCAGAUGUGAUGGUGGUCAGCGUGCUGGGGGGCAGUCACUUGGGGCUCCCAGGAAACAUGCUGAUUCUCCUGAGUCUCUCAUUCGGGGUUACAGAACUGUCGUGCACCGGAGGAAGCCCAUUCAGUACGUUUUGGUUACUGAGACCCUCGAAUUCCCAUAUGAAUUGUAGUAGCAGCUUUUUGCAGAUGUGCCUGCUGGGAUUGUAAUCGAAACCACGUUGUAUGUAUGGAUCGCUCUGGGGAGCACUGCCAUUCCAAGAGCGCUGUCUUCUGAUCCAGGAAUGUGUGCGGUGUGUCUGUCCAGGUGAUACUGCUAUGGUUGCUGCCUGUGCCCUACCCCCAGCCUUGGUUUUGGAGUUGAGUGCCCUCACCUCCAGUGGCAUCCAUCCAGACACCAGCACUGACACUGGCCGUGCUCAGAAUUGCCUCAGCCCUGAAGACACAACUGACAAAUAGAAGGGGGCCACGCCCUGUUACAGCAGGUGCUCUCAAUUUGUGGGUCCUUAUGUAACUGCAUGUUGUUAUUCAGGAUCGCCCGUUCUACAUUGUGUGGCGCUGCUGCAGUGUCUCCUAGUUAUUUGUUUCUGAUCUGAGAAGCAGGAGCAAGGAACUCAGAGAGAGAUCCAGGAAGACAUCUGACUCUGUUAAGAGACGACAGUCACAGCGACACGGGGAGUGAAGAAACUUGCAGCAAAGUAAAAUGACUUCAGAAAAAUUGCAUCAGAGCUGCAGGUGUGAGAGAGCCUAAGCCUGUCUCAGAGUGCAGGGGACAAGUGGAAAGGAAUGUGUAAGAAUGCCGGUGACUCAGAAGCAUGCUUCGAAGCUGCCCAUGUCCUUGCCAUCCAGAAGCGGAGCCUGGGAGCUUCCGAAUUUCUCCAGAAUGCGGUUUACAUUCACCUUGACAGCGUUCCUAGGAG